rnacentral:tRNA from 1 species
GGGGUUGUGGCUCAGUAGUAGAGUGCUCGCCUAGCAUGUGUGAGGCCCUGGGUUCAAUCCUCAGCACCA